rnacentral:rRNA from 1 species
GAUGAACGCUGGCGGCGUGCCUAAUACAUGCAAGUCGAGCGAACGGACGAGAAGCUUGCUUCUCUGAUGUUAGCGGCGGACGGGUGAGUAACACGUGGAUAACCUACCUAUAAGACUGGGAUAACUUCGGGAAACCGGAGCUAAUACCGGAUAAUAUUUUGAACCGCAUGGUUCAAAAGUGAAAGACGGUCUUGCUGUCACUUAUAGAUGGAUCCGCGCUGCAUUAGCUAGUUGGUAAGGUAACGGCUUACCAAGGCAACGAUGCAUAGCCGACCUGAGAGGGUGAUCGGCCACACUGGAACUGAGACACGGUCCAGACUCCUACGGGAGGCAGCAGUAGGGAAUCUUCCGCAAUGGGCGAAAGCCUGACGGAGCAACGCCGCGUGAGUGAUGAAGGUCUUCGGAUCGUAAAACUCUGUUAUUAGGGAAGAACAUAUGUGUAAGUAACUGUGCACAUCUUGACGGUACCUAAUCAGAAAGCCACGGCUAACUACGUGCCAGCAGCCGCGGUAAUACGUAGGUGGCAAGCGUUAUCCGGAAUUAUUGGGCGUAAAGCGCGCGUAGGCGGUUUUUUAAGUCUGAUGUGGAAGCCCACGGCUCAACCGUGGAGGGUCAUUGGAAACUGGAAAACUUGAGUGCAGAAGAGGAAAGUGGAAUUCCAUGUGUAGCGGUGAAAUGCGCAGAGAUAUGGAGGAACACCAGUGGCGAAGGCGACUUUCUGGUCUGUAACUGACGCUGAUGUGCGAAAGCGUGGGGAUCAAACAGGAUUAGAUACCCUGGUAGUCCACGCCGUAAACGAUGAGUGCUAAGUGUUAGGGGGUUUCCGCCCCUUAGUGCUGCAGCUAACGCAUUAAGCACUCCGCCUGGGGAGUACGACCGCAAGGUUGAAACUCAAAGGAAUUGACGGGGACCCGCACAAGCGGUGGAGCAUGUGGUUUAAUUCGAAGCAACGCGAAGAACCUUACCAAAUCUUGACAUCCUUUGACAACUCUAGAGAUAGAGCCUUCCCCUUCGGGGGACAAAGUGACAGGUGGUGCAUGAUUGUCGUCAGCUCGUGUCGUGAGAUGUUGGGUUAAGUCCCGCAACGAGCGCAACCCUUAAGCUUAGUUGCCAUCAUUAAGUUGGGCACUCUAAGUUGACUGCCGGUGACAAACCGGAGGAAGGUGGGGAUGACGUCAAAUCAUCAUGCCCCUUAUGAUUUGGGCUACACACGUGCUACAAUGGACAAUACAAAGGGCAGCGAAACCGCGAGGUCAAGCAAAUCCCAUAAAGUUGUUCUCAGUUCGGAUUGUAGUCUGCAACUCGACUACAUGAAGCUGGAAUCGCUAGUAAUCGUAGAUCAGCAUGCUACGGUGAAUACGUUCCCGGGUCU